rnacentral:tRNA from 1 species
UACCUGGUGGUCCAGUGGCUAGAACUCUGUGCUCCCAAUGCAGGGGCCCAGGUUUGAUCCCUGGUUGGGGAA